rnacentral:lncRNA from 1 species
GGGGGUUUUCCACUAUAAUCGAGAGAGUAGUUUACAUUUUACAAGUUGUGAAUAAAUAAUGAGAUUAUCUCCUAAUCUAUGCAACAAGGCCCUAUUUAUAAGCAUGAACAUAAACUUAAGGCCCUUGGGCCCAUUAGACCCUUAAAGCCCAUUAGCCCCAUGAAUCAAGCCCAAGCCCCGUUAUUCUAAUCUACAUCUUGAAAUCGAGCCAUCAGAGCUGGAAAGCUG